GGGAGGUGAGGGGAGAAGACACAAAUUACUGAUAUCAGGAAUGAGAAAAGUGACAUCUCUAGAGAUCUUGCUGGUAUUAGAAAGACAGUAGAGGAUUACUAUAAAGACUUUAUGUCAAAAAAUUCUAAAAUGAACAAAUCCCUUGAAAGAUACAAACUACUCUAUUUCUAUGAAAAAAAUUGAAUUUACAGUUAAAUUUUUUUUCACAAAAAAACCUCCAGGCCCAGAUGGUUUCACUGAUGAAUUUGAUCAACAAUUAAGAGAGAGAGAAAAAAAAAAGACUGACUCUAUAUAAACUCUUUCUGAAAAAUUGAAGGAAAGUAUUUCCCAAUUCAUUUUAUGAGGCCAGCGUUACCCUGAUACCAAAACCAAAGAUAUUAUAAGAAAAGAAACUGCAGAUCAGUAUUCUUAUGAACACAGAUGCAAAAAAUUUCACAAAAGUCUAGCAAAUCAAACAGUAUAUGAAAAGGGCAACAUAUCAUGACCAAAUGGAGUUCAUUCUACAAAGGCAAGGUUGCUUUCAUAUUCAAAGAUCAAUCAAUAUUUUAUCACACUAACAAGCUAAAAAAGAAAAACCAUAUGAUCAUCUCAGAUGAUACAGAAAAAGCAUUUGACCAAAAGCUAACAUCCAUUGCUGAUUUCAAAAAAAAAAAAACAAAAAGCACACAUACAACACAAAACUCUUAGCAAACUAGAAAUAGAAAGAAGCUUCCUCAAUCUAAUAAAAAGCGUCUAUGAAAAAUCUAUAGCUAACAUCACAUUUAGUGAAAGGGUGAAUGCUUUUCACAUAAGAUCAGGAGUUAACAGAGAUGCCUGCUCUUACCACCUGUAUUCAAUAUUGUAUUAGAGGUUCUAACCAGUGCAAUAGAGCAAGAGAAAAAAAAGGAAAAGGCAGCAAGAUUAGAAAGGAAACUGUAAACCUCUGUUUAUUCGUAAAUCAUCUAUGUUGAGCAUGUGAUGAAAUCCACAAAAAGUUACUGAAUUAAUAAGUGAGUUUAGCAAGUUUGGAAGAUAUAAGAAUAGAAUAUUUUAAAACACCAAAAAGUAAAUACUUAAUGAUAAACCUGAGAAAAGACAGACAAGACCCACACACUGAAAUCUUUAAAAUACUACAGAGAGAUAUUAAAGAAGACCUAAAUAAAUAGAGACACCAUGUUCACAGCUCAGAGACACAAAAUUGUUAAGAUGUACAUUUCUCUCAAGCUGAUCUGUAGACUCAACUCACUUUCAAUCAAAAUCCCCCACGUAUUUUUUGUUUCAGAAAUUCAUAUGCUAAUUCUAAAAUUCCUAGGACCUAAAAUAGUCCAAAGAACUUUGAAAAGGAACAAAGUUGGAAGAUUUACAUUAUUUCAAGACUUUAAUUUUAAGGCUAUGGUAAUCAAGAUAGUGUAAUAUCAACAUAAAAAUGAAACAGAAUAGAGUUUAGAAAUGGAACCAAUUGAUUUGAAAGGUGCAAACCCAAUUGUGAAGAAAGGAUAGUCUUUCAAACAUGGUGUAACAAUUGGAUAUCCACAUACACAAAAAAGAUCCAUACCUUGCACCAUGUAUUAUAUAAAACAUAACUCAAGAUGGAUCAUAGAUCUAAAUGUAAAACUACAAAACCUUUAGAAGGAAACAAAGGAGAAAAUUUUUGUGACUUUAGCUAGGCAAAGAUUUCUUAGAUGUGACAUCGAAAGCACAAUCCAGAAAAGAAUACUACGAUAAAUUUGACUUCAAACUUGAAAACGUCUGCUCUUUGAAAGAUAUUCUUAAAAGAAUAUCUUAAGUACUGGGCCAGGUGCAGUAGCUCACACCUGUAAUCCCAACACUUUGGGAAGCCGAGGUGGGCAGAUCACUUGAGGUCAGGAGUUCGAGACCGGCCUGGCCAACAUGGUGAAACCCCGUCUCUACUAAAAAUACAAAAAUUAGCCAGGCGUGGUGGCACAACCCUGUAAUCCCAGCUACUGGGGAGGCUGAGGCAGGAGAAUAGCUUGAACCCGGGUGGUGUAGGUUGCAGUGAGCAAAGAUCGCACCACUGCACUCCAGCCUGGGCGACAGAGGAAGACUUCACUUCAAAAAAAAAAAAAGAAAAAGAAAAAAAGAAAGAAAGAAGAAAGAAAGGAGAAGAAAGAGAGAAAGAAAGAAGAAAGAAAGAGAGAGAGGAAGAAAGAAAGAGAGAGAGAAAGAAAAAAAAAAGAGAGAAAGAAAAAUAAGCUGAGGACUUUGAGAAAGCAUUUGCAAAUUAUACAUUUGAUAAAGGACUUACAGCUGGAAUAUAAGAAUUCUCCAGAUUGAAUCAUAGGAAAACAAACAGUGUUUAAAUAUGGGCAAAGGAGUUUAAUAGACACUUCACUAAAAAAGACAUACAGAUAGUGAAUUAUCACAUGGAAAAGGAAAUGAAAAUUAAAACCAUAAUGAGAUACCACCACACACCUAUUAAAAUGUGGUCAGAGGGAGAUAUGACAAUGGAAGUCUGGUCAGAGAGAUGCAGUACUGGUGGUCAAGAAGAUAGGGGACAGGGGCCAUGAUCCAAGUGAUGUAGGCAGCCUCUAAAAAAAGGAAAUGAAUUCUCUUCCAGAACCUCCAGAAGGAACACAGCCCUGCCAACCCUUGAUUUUAGCCCAAUGAGACCUGUAUCAGACUUUUGACCUCCAGAAUUGCAAAAUAAUAAAUCUGUGCAGUUUUAAGCUAUGAAGGUUGUGGUAAUUUAUUGCAGCAGCAAUAGAAAACUAAUACAGCAAGAAUCCUUAAACAUAUAAAUAAAUUGUUCAUGUGUGGUUCAUUUAAAGUUGGAAUAAUUUUUCAAAAUCCCAUUAGAAAGUGAAGUGACUCUAGUUUUUUGCUAUUCAAUAUGGUAGCCACUAGACACAUGUGGUACCCAAAUGUGGCUAUCGUGACUGAGGAACUGAAUUUUUAAGUGUUUUGUUGUUGUUGUUGUUUUGUUUUGUUUUUUAAAACAGGGUCUCCCUCUGUCGACCAGAGUGCAGUGGCAUAAUCAUGGCUCUCUGCAGGCUUGUCCUCCUGGUCUCAAGUGAUCCUCCCAUCUCAGCCUCCCCAGUAGCUGGGACCACAGGCACAUACCACCAUCCCCAGCUAGGUUUUCUUUUUAUUUCUUUUUUAUUUUGUAGAUACGGAGUCUCCCUUGUUGCCCAAGCUGGUCUCAAACACCUAGGCUCAAGUGAUCCUCCUGCCUUGGCCUCCCAAAGUGCUGGGAUUACAGAUGUGAGUUUCUGCGCCUGGCCUGGGUUUUU
rnacentral:lncRNA from 10 species